rnacentral:sRNA from 1 species
AUGCAGCCGGGCGCCGCGCUGUGCCUGCGACUGUGGCUCUGCCUGGGACUCCUGGACGGCCUGGCGAGUGGCUACUCCAUGACCCCCCCGACCUUGAACAUCACGGAGGAGUCACACGUCAUCGACACCGGUGACAGCCUGUCCAUCUCCUGCAGGGGACAGCACCCCCUCGAGUGGGCCUGGCCAGGAGCUCAGGAGGCGCCAGCCACGGGAGACAAGGACAGCGAGGACACGGGGGUGGUACGAGACUGCGAGGGCACAGACGCCAGGCCCUACUGCAAGGUGUUGCUGCUGCGUGAGGUGCACGCCAACGACACAGGCAGCUACGUCUGCUACUACAAGUACAUCAAGGCACGCAUCGAGGGCACCACGGCCGCCAGCUCCUACGUGUUCGUGAGAGACUUUGAGCAGCCAUUCAUCAACAAGCCUGACACGCUCUUGGUCAACAGGAAGGACGCCAUGUGGGUGCCCUGUCUGGUGUCCAUCCCCGGCCUCAAUGUCACGCUGCGCUCGCAAAGCUCGGUGCUGUGGCCAGAUGGGCAGGAGGUGGUGUGGGACGACCGGCGGGGCAUGCUCGUGUCCACGCCACUGCUGCGUGAUGCUCUGUACCUGCAGUGCGAGACCACCUGGGGGGACCAGGACUUCCUUUCCAACCCCUUCCUGGUGCACAUCACAGGCAACGAGCUCUAUGACAUCCAGCUGUUGCCCAGGAAGUCGCUGGAGCUGCUGGUAGGGGAGAAGCUGGUCCUGAACUGCACCGUGUGGGCUGAGUUCAACUCAGGUGUCACCUUUGACUGGGACUACCCAGGGAAGCAGGCAGAGCGGGGUAAGUGGGUGCCCGAGCGACGCUCCCAGCAGACCCACACAGAACUCUCCAGCAUCCUGACCAUCCACAACGUCAGCCAGCACGACCUGGGCUCGUAUGUGUGCGAGGCCAACAACGGCAUCCAGCGAUUUCGGGAGAGCACCGAGGUCAUUGUGCAUGAAAAUCCCUUCAUCAGUGUCGAGUGGCUCAAAGGACCCAUUCUGGAGGCCACGGCAGGAGACGAGCUGGUGAAGCUGCCCGUGAAGCUGGCGGCGUACCCCCCGCCCGAGUUCCAGUGGUACAAGGAUGGAAAGGCACUGUCCGGGCGCCACAGUCCACAUGCCCUGGUGCUCAAGGAGGUGACAGAGGCCAGCACAGGCACCUACACCCUCGCCUUGUGGAACUCCGCUGCUGGCCUGAGGCGCAACAUCAGCCUGGAGCUGGUGGUGAAUGGUAGGUCAGGGACGGGAGAGCGCACGGGUGGGCGGCCUGGCAUUGGAGGCCAGCUGACCGGCCAUCUGUGUGCCCACAGUGCCCCCCCAGAUACACGAGAAGGAGGCUUCCUCCCCCAGCAUCUACUCGCGUCACAGCCGCCAGGCCCUCACCUGCACGGCCUACGGGGUGCCCCUGCCUCUCAGCAUCCAGUGGCACUGGCGGCCCUGGACACCCUGCAAGAUGUUUGCCCAGCGUAGUCUCCGGCGGCGGCAGCAGCAAGACCUCAUGCCACAGUGCCGUGACUGGAGGGCGGUGACCACGCAGGAUGCCGUGAACCCCAUCGAGAGCCUGGACACCUGGACCGAGUUUGUGGAGGGAAAGAAUAAGACUGUGAGCAAGCUCGUGAUCCAGAAUGCCAACGUGUCCGCCAUGUACAAGUGUGUCGUCUCCAACAAGGUGGGCCAGGAUGAGCGGCUCAUCUACUUCUAUGUGACCACCAUCCCCGACGGCUUCACCAUCGAAUCCAAGCCAUCCGAGGAGCUACUAGAGGGCCAGCCCGUCCUCCUGAGCUGCCAAGCCGACAGCUACAAGUACGAGCAUCUGCGCUGGUACCGCCUCAACCUGUCCACGCUGCACGAUGCGCACGGGAACCCGCUUCUGCUCGACUGCAAGAACGUGCAUCUGUUCGCCACCCCUCUGGCCGCCAGCCUGGAGGAGGUGGCACCUGGGGCGCGCCACGCCACGCUCAGCCUGAGUAUCCCCCGCGUCGCGCCCGAGCACGAGGGCCACUAUGUGUGCGAAGUGCAAGACCGGCGCAGCCAUGACAAGCACUGCCACAAGAAGUACCUGUCUGUGCAGGCCCUGGAAGCCCCUCGGCUCACGCAGAACUUGACCGACCUCCUGGUGAACGUGAGCGACUCGCUGGAGAUGCAGUGCUUGGUGGCCGGAGCGCACGCGCCCAGCAUCGUGUGGUACAAAGACGAGAGGCUGCUGGAGGAAAAGUCGGGUAGGGAGGGUGGCCCUGGCGAAGGGCAGGUCCGGAGGCCCGCGAGGCCAACGAUCCCACACCCAGGUGGACCCGCACCUCCACCCCACCCCCUGCAGGAGUCGACUUGGCGGACUCCAACCAGAAGCUGA